AACCUAGCACACCUGCGGUGUGUACCUGCGGAGGGAUCAUUACCGAGUUUACAACUCCCAAACCCCUGUGAACAUACCUAUACGUUGCCUCGGCGGAUCAGCCCGCGCCCUGUAAAAAGGGACGGCCCGCCCGAGGACCCUAAACUCUGUUUUUAGUGGAACUUCUGAGUAAAACAAACAAAUAAAUCAAAACUUUUAGCAAUGGAUCU
rnacentral:misc_RNA from 1 species